CAGUGGGUGUGAGCCCCACCCGGCGACAGCUCCCGCCGGAAGCAAUCGGGGCAGGCAUGGAGGCGACGAAAUGUCUGAAGCCCCCGAAUAACCGUCACGACAUACGGUGACGGCGCGAGUGUGCAGGCCGCAACAUGC
rnacentral:ncRNA from 1 species